UACGAAGGGGGCUAGCGUUGUUCGGAAUCACUGGGCGUAAAGGGCGCGUAGGCGGCUUUUCAAGUCGGGGGUGAAAGCCUGUGGCUCAACCACAGAAUUGCCUUCGAUACUGUUAGGCUUGAGACCGGAAGAGGUGAGUGGAACUGCGGGUGUAGAGGUGAAAUUCGUAGAUAUUCGCAAGAACACCAGUGGCGAAGGCGGCUCACUGGUCCGGUUCUGACGCUGAGGUGCGAAAGCGUGGGGAGCAAACAGG
rnacentral:rRNA from 1 species